CAGUCGCCACGGUAAUACGAAGGGUGCAAGCGUUAAUCGGAAUUACUGGGCGUAAAGCGUGCGCAGGCGGUUGUGUAAGACAGGUGUGAAAUCCCCGGGCUUAACCUGGGAACUGCGCUUGUGACUGCACAGCUAGAGUAUGGCAGAGGGGGGUGGAAUUCCACGUGUAGCAGUGAAAUGCGUAGAGAUGUGGAGGAACACCGAUGGCGAAGGCAGCCCCCUGGGCCAAUACUGACGCUCAUGCACGAAAGCGUGGGGAGCAAACAGGAUUAGAUACCCCCGUAGUCCCUGUCUCUUAUAC
rnacentral:rRNA from 1 species